rnacentral:lncRNA from 1 species
GGAUUUGGAUUCAGUUUGUUGGCUCUUCUCUACUCCAUUACUGAGGCAACACAACAGUGGUUCACAGUUAGGUGGUUCCCACUGGCUACCCUCACCUAGCCAGUGGAUCUCAAACCAUCUCCCUAACUCACCAAGGAUUUAAGACCCACUAGCUACCCUCACCUGGUUUAGCCGGCCAGUUGAAGCUGUUCCUGGGGUAUAGUCGCUAUUGCAAACUGACAGCUUCUAGGAGCCACAAGUGAGAGCUAAGUGCAAACUGGGGGCCAAAGGUAGACAAACUAUUUCAGUAGGAGCACGAUGCAUCCCCCAGCAGAGGUACCACCCCAUCCCUAACAACCCAUACACAUCAAACCGUACAAUGAAAACCAUAAAAAGUUUUUUAAAAAACAGGCAUCAAUUAACCAUUGUGUAACAAUAUAUUGUUAAUUGGCUGCAUAGACCUGGCAGAAUAUUAAAGAUUUCAGCAGGUGUUUAAAAAUUGGCAUGGAAGGUAGUGUUGCAGGGGACCGGGCCAAUGGCACUAAUGACUCGGUUUCAUGUUACCAGUUAAGCCUCAACAACCUGGGGGAUGACCAACGACACUCUCAGUGAUCAAGCUGGGAUAUAAGGUUUGAGGCAAUUACUGAGCCUAUGUUGUUCAGGGCUUUGUAAAUUAAUACAAGAACCUUGAACCUGGCUGGGUAGUAACUGGGCAACCCAUGCAGCUGUUUCAGCAAUUGUGUCAAUGCCAGCAGUCUGGCCACCACAUUCUGCACCAGCUGGAGCUUCUGAACCAGGCUCAAGGACUUACAAGGACGUAAUUAAACAGAAAAAUGACCAAUAGUAUUAAGUAACACUAAUAUAACAGCAGUAAAUGAAACCAUUAUUAAAUGCAGUGCCAUAUGAUAACUCAAAAUCACUUCAAAAAGCCAAGAAACAAUUACAGUGGUACCUCUGGUUACGUACUUAAUUCGUUCCGGAGGUCCAUUCUUAACCUGAAACUGAAGCACCACUUUAGCUAAUGGGGCCUCCAGCUGCUGCUGCGCCGCCACUGCGCGAUUUCUGUUCUCACCCUGAAGCAAAGUUCUUAACCCGAAGUACUAUUUCUGGGUUAGCGGAUUCUGUAACCUGAAGCGUAUGUAACCUGAAGCGUUUGUAACCCAAGGUACCACUGUACGUUAAGCCAUAGAAGGUCCUACUGCUAUCCCUGGCAUUAAUUAUCCUAAUAGUUCUGUUUGCCCAUUUUAAGGCUAUUGUCAUGGCUCUGCAUUUCCUUUAUUUGGAACAUAUUGAGUUCCACAAUCACAUUACUAUCUGGCUUAUGCCACUGUGAUCCUUCCUCUGCACACAGGAAAGUAGUAUGUUAGGAAGGGUUCCUGACAUGCUAGUUUACUGGGCUUCUUCUAGAUGUGCAAGCUAUUCUUGGGUUGUUGUUUUUUAAUAUGUAAGAACACAUGAUUCUGCAGUUCUUGGGAAUCUUUGGUACAUAAGGAUAGCUUCUGAUUUAACAUUUUCCCCUCCACUGUAGAAUAAAGCUAGAGGAAUUCACAUAAAAACAGUAAACAUAAAGUUCAGUUUGGUUUUGAUGCUUGGGUAAACUUGAUAGCCCUGGCCUUGUUGUACAAAAAGCACUAUACAAAUUGUGAAGGACAACAUUGCAUUUCAAGCAAUGGCUUGUUGAAAAUGCACAAGAUGUGAUACAGGCUCUAGAAAAAUGAUUCCUUUUCAAUUUCACUAUCACAUGCACCAAAAACCAUACAAAUGCCUGGUACAAUUAAUAAAGUUUUGGCUUCUGAACACUACUGCUCUUUGUUUUUCAAAACUAAGCAUAGCAACUAUUGUCUUCCCUGGUAACCUUUUGCAUCUAUUCAGCUUGCCUUAUACUUAGUGCCAUGUAAAAUGUUAUUGCUAGUCAUAUGGUCAUCAGAUGUGCUGAUGUUUCUGAGGGCGCUGGGAUGAAUAAAUGAUAGGAGUCUUCGUAGAUUAUCUUCACAGGGGCAGCAGCUGUCUGCUCAGAAACAGAUGGUUGGAAUGAUCUGAACAAGCCUGAUCUUGCCUUCUCAAAGUAAAGCAGAUUUGAGGUUGUGUGUGCUUUUUCAUGCUGUUGAUACCAAAAGUCACUCAUCCUGCAUUAAUCUGCAGGCUUGUUUAUGUGAAUAUGCAUACAUUUGGAAACUGUAAAUGCAAAGAUCAGCUGUUACAGCUUCAUUCCAGAAAUGUAAUAUGAAAGAGAAUAACAUAGCCCAACACAUACAUAUAAGUUCUUCAAUUUGAUUAAAAAAUGUUAUUUUCCUAAAGUGACAUAGAAUUAAAAAUCGUGCCCCCUCUCUUGGGGGCCCCCAAAAAAAUGAAAGGGAAAAAAUCCUGGAUGUACAUUUCC